UGGGGAAUCGUCUAACGGCAGGACAACAGACUCUGGAUCUGUCUAUCGGGGUUCGAAUCCCUGUUCCCCAGCCA
rnacentral:tRNA from 1 species